GAUGAACGCUGGCGGCGUGCCUAAUACAUGCAAGUCGAGCGAACAGACGAGGAGCUUGCUCCUUUGACGUUAGCGGCGGACGGGUGAGUAACACGUGGGUAACCUACCUAUAAGACUGGGAUAACUUCGGGAAACCGGAGCUAAUACCGGAUAAUAUUUCGAACCGCAUGGUUCGAUAGUGAAAGAUGGCUUUGCUAUCACUUAUAGAUGGACCUGCGCCGUAUUAGCUAGUUGGUAAGGUAACGGCUUACCAAGGCAACGAUACGUAGCCGACCUGAGAGGGUGAUCGGCCACACGGGAUCUGAGACACGGUCGAGACUCCUAGGGGGGGCAGCAGUAGGGAAUCGUCCGAAAUGGGCGAAAGCCUGACGGAGCAACGCCGCGUGAGUGAUGAAGGUCUUCGGAUCGUAAAACUCUGUUAUGAGGGAAGAACAAACGUGUAAGUAACUGUGCACGUCUUGGCGGUACCUAAUCAGAAAGCCACGGCUAACUACG
rnacentral:rRNA from 1 species